ACUUUCUGCAUGAGGACAAGGACCUGGUCUGUUAGAGCAGGAGUCCUCAACCCCCAGGCCACAGACUGGUACCAGUCUGCAGCCUCUUAGGAACUGGGCCAUACAGCAGGAGCACAUGGGGAAGUAUCAACGUCAUCGUCAUCAUCAUCAUCAUCUUUCUACAGAGGAAACUGAGGCCCAGAGACGGUGAACUUCCUGCCCAAGCCUCAGACUUGCCCUAACCCUGGGGUCACAGUGGACCUCUUCCAGCCUCUUGAAUGCUAAGUCAGGAGGGGGAAGGGUGGGAGAGGGGAGGAGGAGGGGGAGAAGGAGGGGUGGGGGACUCCAUUCAAAUCCCGUCUUCCUCCUGUCGCAUACCUGCCAGAGAUAGACGAAGCAGACCACGAUCCAGACGAGAGGCAGCCACAGCCCGUUGAGGUAGAGGACGCUCUCGGUCAGCCGCUGCACGUCCACGGACACCAGGUUGACCACAUCACCCACCGCACUGGCCUUUCUGGAGCCACUGGACAGAGCCAGGACCUGGCGGGUGGGCAGAAGGAGAGAAGUAAAGUGGGGAGGCCGGGGCAGAGGGAUGCCCCAGGUGGCUUCUCCACCCAGUGAGCCCCACUUCACGCGUCUGCGAGGUGGGAAAAUACCACUUCCAGUUAAAUUAAGACAUAAACCGAGGCAGAGAGAAGUUGAGCAACUUGCCCAAAGUCACAGCCCUUGUAAGCGCCUACACAAGGAAUGGAAUCCAGGGUGACGAAGGCAUGACAAGGCCCUCCCUUUGUGACUGCGUGAGGGAGUGAAGAAGUGAUCCAGGAAUGACUGGACAUAGAAAUUCUCCACUUAGCAAGUCUUUGAAGAGUGCCCACUGUGUGACUCACACUGAGCUGGGAACUGAAAAUACAGCUGUGAACAACAGAGAUGAGGCUUGCUCUCCCGGGACUGGAGUUUGAGGUGGGGAACAAGGCUCUAUAAUAAAGAUUUAUAUAACUGGCUGGGCACAGUGGCUCACACCUGUAAUCCCAGCACUUUGGGAGGCUGAGGCGGAUGGAUUGCUUGAGGCCGGGAGUUCGAGAUCAGCCUGGCCAAUAUGGCAAAACCCCAUCUCUAGUAAAAAUACAAAAAUUAACUGGGCAUGCUGGUGGGCGCCUGUAAUCCCAGCUACUUGGGAGGGUGAGGCAGGACAAUUGCUUGAACCCAGGAGGCAGAGGUUGCAGUGAGCCAAGAUUGCACCACUGCACUACAGCCUGGGUGACAGAGUGAGACUCUGUCUCAAAAAAAUAAGACAAAACAAAAACAUUUCUAUAACUCAUGCUUUAAUGGCAGUUAUGAUGAGUAACAUACAAAAGUAGCCCAGGCUGAGCGCGUUGGCUCAUGUCUGUAAUCCCAGCACUUUGGGAGGCUGAGGUGGGUGGAUCACCUGAGGUCAGGAGUUCGAUACCAGCUUGGCCAACAUGGUGAAACCCUGUCUACUAAAAAUACAAAAUUAGCCGGGCAUGGUGGCGCACACCUGUAAUCCCAGCUACUCAGGAAGCUGAGACAGGAGAAUCACUUGAACCCAGGGGGCGGAGGUUGUAGUGAGCCGAGACUGUGCCACUGCACUCCAGCCUGGGCAACAAGAGGGAAACUCUGUCAGAAAAAAAAAAAAAAAAAGCCCAGAGGUUAGAGAGGGACGGAUCUGAUCUCAUCAGGAGAUCAAAGAAGGCCUCUGGCGGGUGGUGGGGAAUAGGAAGAUCAAUGCCGUGCUCACCAGGCUGCCUUCCUCUUAGGCUCAAGGAAAUGUGGACUCUCAAGACAGGAUAGGGCACACCCAGCUCUGGCAUGCUCAGGGGAACAGCAGCCCUGGGACGCAGCACUCUGGCAGGACAGCA
rnacentral:lncRNA from 1 species